rnacentral:rRNA from 1 species
AUUGAACGCUGGCGGCAGGCCUAACACAUGCAAGUCGAGCGGCAGCGGGAAAGUAGCUUGCUACUUUUGCCGGCGAGCGGCGGACGGGUGAGUAAUGCCUGGGAAAUUGCCCAGUCGAGGGGGAUAACAGUUGGAAACGACUGCUAAUACCGCAUACGCCCUGCGGGGGACAGCAGGGGACCUUCGGGCCUUGCGCGAUUGUAUAUGCCCAGGUGGGAUUAGCUAGUUGGUGAGGUAAUGGCUCACCAAGGCGACGAUCCCUAGCGGGUCUGAGAGGAUGAUCAGCCACACUGGAACUGAGACACGGUCCAGACUCCUACGGGAGGCAGCAGUGGGGAAUAUUGCACAAUGGGGGAAACCCUGAUGCAGCCAUGCCGCGCGUGUGAAGAAGGCCUUCGGGUUGUAAAGCACUUUCAGCGAGGAGGAAAGGUUGAUGCCUAAUACGUAUCAACUGUGACGUUACUCGCAGAAGAAGCACCGGCUAACUCCGUGCCAGCAGCCGCCGUAA